UAUUAUAUGAUUUUUCAAUAAAACCAUUUUAAAAGUUUUCUCAUACUCGAUUUUUUCUUUUUGGAAUCUAAACCCAAAGUAUGAAUAUAUAGUAGUUGUGGAUUACUUAAUAAUUUGAGUAAGUUAUUCUCUUAAUUCUCUUAAAUUGAUAUUUAUAUAAUAAAUCACUGAGAGUGAAGAAUAUGUAAGGAGUUCCAUCAUCAAUAACUUAGGUUUCUAGAAUCCAACACUUCCCUCUGUUAAAUUGGUGUAAGACAAACGUUAUUUAUGAAUUAUGUGUAUGAUACAUUGUUGAGAAUGUUAUUAGAAAAAAUAUUUUUAAUA
rnacentral:sRNA from 1 species